rnacentral:snoRNA from 1 species
UCAUAUGAUGCUCAACGUUUAAAUACGCUGGAAAUUACCGACUGAGGCCUUCGGGUCCUGGACGAAAUCAAAUGGCUAAAUCUGAUU